CCUGGCGGCCGUAGCGCGGUGGUCCCACCUGACCCCAUGCCGAACUCAGAAGUGAAACGCCGUAGCG
rnacentral:rRNA from 7 species